rfam:Glycine max cultivar Williams 82 chromosome 14, whole genome shotgun sequence.
GAUCUAUUAGCUUAGUUGGUUAGAAUGUUGUGUUAAUAAUGUGAAAGUCACAUGUUCAAAUCUUGUAUGAGUCA